GUUAAAAGACAGAAUAUCUAUAUUUUGUUAAAAUAAUUUCCUAUGUUCAAAAGGACUGAGGUCUCUCUAUUAAGGUUUUUAUUUUUGUUUUUUGACUGUUUUAACUCUGUUUGCCUUUGACUGUUUCUGUUGUCACCUUGAUUAAAUGGAUAAUUCAGCAUUGUUUCCUAUUUGACUGAGUGUUUUAAAGCCUUUUGAUUUUUUUGACAAACGUCCUCUAAAAUUAAAGUCUUCUUUUGACUUAAAAAGAAAACUUUGAGAAUUUUCAAUCAGCCUUGAGACUUAAAGAAUUUGUUCUCUCUUUUCAUAAAGAGGAAGAUAUUAAACAAAUUAGACUUAUUUGGUAUGUUAAAUUACAUGGGAAAUAUUGUCAAAUAAAUAAUAAUAAGCCUUGCUAGGUUAUAUUGUAUGGAUAAAUGUUAUUAAUAUAAGUGUUUUUUAAAAAAAUAUGUAAGAUCCCAAAAGUUCUGAUCUGUCCUGGUUGUCAGUCAUAAUUCUAGUUAUUAUCUCAAAGUGUUGUAUGUUACAGAAAUAGCCAAGUGUCUUUAUCAAUUGCCAUUUUUAAAUGUUUUGUCAUUUGCAGAAGGUUGUUUUACUCUGAUGUUUUUGCAAAUAUGUUUCAAGUUCAGAGAGAUUCAUGGAAGAGACGCUGACACUUGCUCUAAAACACAGAUUUCUGAUAAACUUUCAGAUUACAAAACUGAACCGGAAUUCUAACUCAAAAACUGAUAGCCUCAUGAAACUGCUAACAGAAGAUCAAGAGUUGGUUACAUGAAACUAGGUAAACUGACAAGAGUGAUGAUAAUUUUUAUUACUUUUUGUUUGACAUAUUGCUGAUUUUUUUUAAUGUUUUGUUUUUUCAGGUUUAAGGAAAACUUUUUCUCUUUUCUCUUAAGGAACUAUGACUUAUACCUUUGUAAGCAGAAUUAAAGCAUUUAUCUUUUUCUCUCUUCCUGAUCCCUCCAGAAUUUGGAAACUCUUAGUAAGUGAAUGUUCUUAUUCCAUGGCAAUAUAGCUAUUUGCAUAAGUUCCAUGAGAAUCUGUUCUCCUUAUAAUAGGACACAAUUGGAAACACUGGGAACUGGGAACACAAUUGGAAACUGUUAUGUUAUCAAAGCUUUGGCUGGAACAUCAUAUUUAAAAAGCAUAUGCAGGCUCAGAUAUGACCAGACAGCUUUUGAGGAAUGAAGAUUGGACUUUAUGGAAUAAAGCCACUUGGAAAUAUUGGCCUGGUACCUUAUUCCCAAACAGCAACCUUACGGCCCUGCAAACUGAAGCUGGACGACUUGUUACAAACCUAACCAAGUGCACCAUGAGAGCCCAUGUUUGGACAAUCUUCAUGCCUGCUGCUGUGUAAGCCACUUAAAAGGUUCACCUGGAUGCCUGAUGACAUCAUUAGAGAUAUUUUAGACUGCAGGGGAUGCGUCAACCUGACAUCUAGAGAUCUUCUUGACUGGCUGUCCUCUGAGCUCAGAAAUUGAGAUGAUCCAAAAGACCUGGAGGAAACUUAAACAAAGGAACUAAACACUGUCAGAUGUUUCUCUGCACCAUCUUUGUCAUAGAGACUGGGUCCUAAUGAAAUCCUGGACUUCGUCCCUGUUAGAUGCGACCAUAUGAGAAACGCCACAGGGAAUAUGAACCAUGCCACAAAAAAACAUCACAACUGGAGUCACCCAAACCUUGGGUGACUUCAUACUCUAGACACUGACUUCUCUGAAUGGUCAAGUGAAUACCUAACAGACUGAAAGUUGCUGUCCAGAAAAUGGUCUUCUAAAAGAUAAGUAAUAAAUGACUCCCAAGUUCUUACCUUAUUUGUUGGACUGUAGACAGCACGCUACUUGGCUACAUCAGGUUUCACUUGAGGUUCUAGGCACUAACAUUGAUUGGUUUAAGGCCUCUUUUCCUAGAUUCCCCAAGGAUUGAGGUCCAUUAUGGAGGGGAUACUAAAAUUUGGGCUGUCUGUUUUGCUAAUAUGUGUGGUCAUCUAUGCAAUUAUAAAAUGUGAACUUAAGUGUUCUUCCAAAGCCAUUGAUCAGAGUACUAAAAUAUUAGUCAUGCAAAGCAUAUCUCGCUCUCCCCACCUGGUACCCCAAAAUAUUUAAAAAUAAAGGUGAAAUAGUUUCAUUCCUUUGAUCCUGAUCUUUGCCCUUUUACAGCAUGAAGUAGCUAGAGUGGUCUUCACCCCCAUUCCCCAAGACUGAGGAAUGAUUAAAAGACAGUGGGGUUUGAAACUGAGCAUGAAGAA